rnacentral:miRNA from 1 species
AUGUGUGUGUGUGUGUGUGUGCAUAUUACUAAGAGCUGCAAACAACUUAAAUACACACACACACACACACACACACACACACACACACACACA